rnacentral:rRNA from 1 species
ACAGCAGUCGCCACGGGAAUACGGAGGGUGCAAGCGUUAUCCGGAUUUAUUGGGUUUAAAGGGUCCGUAGGCGGAUCUGUAAGUCAGUGGUGAAAUCUCACAGCUUAACUGUGAAACUGCCAUUGAUACUGCAGGUCUUGAGUAAAUUUGAAGUGGCUGGAAUAAGUAGUGUAGCGGUGAAAUGCAUAGAUAUUACUUAGAACACCAAUUGCGAAGGCAGGUCACUAAGAUUUAACUGACGCUGAUGGACGAAAGCGUGGGGAGCGAACAGGAUUAGAUACCCCUGUAGUCCCUGUCUCUUAUAC